GGUUCUAUAGUGUAGCUGGUUAUCACAUCGGAUUCUGAUUCCCUCGAUCAUUCCGGUAACCUGGGUUCGAAUCCCAGUAGGACCU